CUCUGUGAGCACAAAGGAGAAAGGCUGCCCUCAGGGUUGACUGCAUACUGGGGAAAAAUUAAGACAGCUGAGGUUAAGUUGUUUACCAGAGCAUGAACUAAUGGAUACUGGAAAGCAGCUGAAUCUUGUGUUACCUUGAUUGCUUGCAUCCGUGUUUGGGUGAGCUGGGUAAAAGUGAGGUGAGCCAUAAGGCUUGGGUCUCCUCUGCCUGCUAGAAGAUGAGCCCCCUGGCUGCCCACAUGUUGAGCUGACUCCGUGUCUCUGUCAUUCAUUUUCGUUUGUCCGGGGUCAGGGAGGAACAAAGUACCUGGUCUAGGUCCCGGAGCAAGGCCCACCUGGUGGCGCCCCAGUGCGGGGCCGGGGACCCAGGGUUGCCUACAGUUCACACUACUUAUUCUCCUUUUAAUAUCCACGUGAUCUGUAAAUCCUCCCUGUUAUAGGUAAUCCGUAUCCUGGAUUCUGGGGGAUUAUUUAAAGCAGUGGUGGUGAGUGGAUGGCACAUGUGCCACAGCGGACACGCAGAGCCCUCUCUGUCGUAUGUUCUGUCUGGCGUUCACAGUGGACAACUGGGAGUUCACAGUGGAUAACUGCAUGAGGAUCCAUCUUUCAGGAUUCUCCUUCACCAUUUGGGUGCCACUUCCCACUCCAUGUCACCUAGACACCUGGUCACCCACCUAGAGAUGUCAUUUUCCAGGCCCCUACCUGUGCAUCACCAGGCUGUUGGUGGACUGUACUUCAAAGGGUCACAUCUUGCUUGCCCAGAGACUAUACAUCAGGUCCAACCUGGGCAAACCAGCCAC
rnacentral:lncRNA from 1 species